rnacentral:lncRNA from 1 species
GGUUAAGUCGAUCGGUCCUAAAGGAUGAUGAUCUCGAGUAGACCUGAAAGAUGUAUGGAAUUCGAAAAGCAUAGUCCCUGAGUGUCCAACUAGAGAUGGAGAAUGGCCGUGCCUGACACGGCAAGGCCUAGGCCCACCAGGUCGAAGGUUUAAUGGGUCAUGCCAGGCAGAGUCCAUAUAAUAAAUGGGCCGUGCCUGACGUGACCUGUUUAAACAAAACCCCUAGCCUGGCAAGGCCCUAAGCCCAGUGGUGGUGGGCCAUGCCAGUCACGGUCUAUUAGGCCCGCAUACCUAAUGGGCCUAACCAAUUUUUUUUAAAUUUUUAAAUAUAAAAAUAAAAAAUAUUAAGUAAUAAAAGUAUAUGAG